rnacentral:rRNA from 1 species
GAUGAACGCUAGCGGCAGGCCUAACACAUGCAAGUCGAGGGAGAAGCCCUUUCGGGGGCAGAAACCGGCGCACGGGUGCGUAGCGCGUAUGCAACCUACCUUUCACAGGGGGAUAGCCCGAAGAAAUUUGGAUUAAUACCCCAUAAUAUUAUUGGAUGGCAUCAUUUGAUAAUUAAAACUGCGGUGGUGAAAGAUGGGCAUGCGUCCUAUUAGCUAGUUGGAGUGGUAACGGCACCCCAAGGCUACGAUAGGUAGGGGUCCUGAGAGGGAGAUCCCCCACACUGGUACUGAGACAGGGACCAGACUCCUACGGGAGGCAGCAGUGAGGAAUAUUGGUCAAUGGUCGGAAGACUGAACCAGCCAUGCCGCGUGCAGGAAGAAUGCCUUAUGGGUUGUAAACUGCUUUUAUAUGGGAAGAAUAAGGUGUACGUGUACAUUGAUGACGGUACCAUAUGAAUAAGCAUCGGCUAACUCCGUG